GUUGAACGUGAAGGAUAACGUUGCGUCAGCAACGGCCCGUAGGGCAAGGCGAAGCCGAGUCAUCCUGCACGACCCACCA
rnacentral:sRNA from 1 species